GCAAGUCGAACGGUAACAGGAAGCAGCUUGCUGCUUUGCUGACGAGUGGCGGACGGGUGAGUAAUGUCUGGGAAACUGCCUGAUGGAGGGGGAUAACUACUGGAAACGGUAGCUAAUACCGCAUAACGUCGCAAGACCAAAGAGGGGGACCUUCGGGCCUCUUGCCAUCGGAUGUGCCCAGAUGGGAUUAGCUAGUAGGUGGGGUAACGGCUCACCUAGGCGACGAUCCCUAGCUGGUCUGAGAGGAUGACCAGCCACACUGGAACUGAGACACGGUCCAGACUCCUACGGGAGGCAGCAGUGGGGAAUAUUGCACAAUGGGCGCAAGCCUGAUGCAGCCAUGCCGCGUGUGUGAAGAAGGCCUUCGGGUUGUAAAGCACUUUCAGCGGGGAGGAAGGCGGUAAGGUUAAUAACCUUACCGAUUGACGUUACCCGCAGAAGAAGCACCGGCUAACUCCGUGCCAGCAGCCGCGGUAAUACGGAGGGUGCAAGCGUUAAUCGGAAUUACUGGGCGUAAAGCGCACGCAGGCGGUCUGUCAAGUCGGAUGUG
rnacentral:rRNA from 1 species